rnacentral:rRNA from 1 species
CCUACGGGCGGCAGCAGUGGGGAAUAUUGGACAAUGGGCGAAAGCCUGAUCCAGCCAUGCCGCGUGUGUGAAGAAGGCCUUCGGGUUGUAAAGCACUUUCAGUGGGGAAGAAAGCCUUGGGGCUAAUACCCUCGAGGAAGGACAUCACCCACAGAAGAAGCACCGGCUAACUCCGUGCCAGCAGCCGCGGUAAUACGGAGGGUGCGAGCGUUAAUCAGAAUUACUGGGCGUAAAGCGCGCGUAGGCGGUCUGAUAAGCCGGUUGUGAAAGCCCCGGGCUCAACCUGGGAACGGCAUCCGGAACUGUCAGGCUAGAGUGCAGGAGAGGAAGGUAGAAUUCCCGGUGUAGCGGUGAAAUGCGUAGAGAUCGGGAGGAAUACCAGUGGCGAAGGCGGCCUUCUGGACUGACACUGACGCUGAGGUGCGAAAGCGUGGGUAGCAAACAGGAUUAGAUACCCCAGUAGUC